rnacentral:rRNA from 1 species
GAUGAACGCUGGCGGCGUGCCUAAUACAUGCAAGUCGAGCGAACAGAUGAGGAGCUUGCUCCUCUGACGUUAGCGGCGGACGGGUGAGUAACACGUGGAUAACCUACCUAUAAGACUGGGAUAACUUCGGGAAACCGGAGCUAAUACCGGAUAAUAUAUUGAACCGCAUGGUUCAAUAGUGAAAGACGGUUUUGCUGUCACUUAUAGAUGGAUCCGCGCCGCAUUAGCUAGUUGGUAAGGUAACGGCUUACCAAGGCAACGAUGCGUAGCCGACCUGAGAGGGUGAUCGGCCACACUGGAACUGAGACACGGUCCAGACGCCUACGGGAGGCAGCAGUAGGGAAUCUUCCGCAAUGGGCGAAAGCCUGACGGAGCAACGCCGCGUGAGUGAUGAAGGUCUUCGGAUCGUAAAACUCUAUUAUUAGGGAAGAACAAAUGUGUAAGUAACUAUGCACGUCUUGACGGUACCUAAUCAGAAAGCCACGGCUAACUACGUG